rnacentral:rRNA from 1 species
UUGAGACCGGCGCACGGGUGCGUAACGCGUAUGCAAUCUACCUUAUACAGGGGAAUAGCCCAGAGAAAUUUGGAUUAAUGCCCCAUAGUAUUAUUGAAUCGCAUGGUUUAAUAAUUAAAGUUCCAACGGUAUAAGAUGAGCAUGCGUCCCAUUAGUUAGUUGGUAAGGUAACGGCUUACCAAGACGAUGAUGGGUAGGGGUCCUGAGAGGGAGAUCCCCCACACUGGUACUGAGACACGGACCAGACUCCUACGGGAGGCAGCAGUGAGGAAUAUUGGUCAAUGGUCGCAAGACUGAACCAGCCAUGCCGCGUGCAGGAAGACGGUCCUAUGGAUUGUAAACUGCUUUUAUACAGGAAGAAACCCUCCCACGUGUGGGAGCUUGACGGUACUGUAGGAAUAAGGAUCGGCUAACUCCGUGCCAGCAGCCGCGGUAAUACGGAGGAUCCAAGCGUUAUCCGGAAUCAUUGGGUUUAAAGGGUCCGUAGGCGGUCUUAUAAGUCAGUGGUGAAAGCCCAUCGCUCAACGAUGGAACUGCCAUUGAUACUGUAAGACUUGAAUGCUUAGGAAGUAACUAGAAUAUGUAGUGUAGCGGUGAAAUGCUUAGAUAUUACAUGGAAUACCAAUUGCGAAGGCAGGUUACUACUAAGCGAUUGACGCUGAUGGACGAAAGCGUGGGGAGCGAACAGGAUUAGAUACCC